ensembl:lncRNA
GCAACAUGUCAUAUUUAUGACCAGAUACUAUGUUAAGCCUUUUCUCAAACUAAUGCUUAUUAUUGACACAUCGAAAUUCAAAGAAAAUGACAUAAUAUUGGGAUAAAAGGGAUUUGAAGUAGCAUCAAAGGCAAAAGACAUGGUGACCUGCAAAUGUCACAUCCCAGCAAAAUAUUCCUAUACGAACCCAGCUGGUAAUACAACAAACAAAAUACCACGAGGCCAUCAGAACUGGAAGGUUUGUGAUUAUGGAUGGAAAAUGUCCAUUACCAACAGUAUUUCUAAUUUCAAAUCCAGACAAGACCUUACUCAACAAAUAAGCAAGUUAUUUCCAUAAAUCCACAGGAAUGCAUCAGCUUGGAGUCUGAGGCCAUUUACCUUGGAUCGGGUGGUUUGUCGCAGAAUGAUUAAAAGACUUAUUUUCAAAGACCUAUUACUGGAAAGCAAUGUGUUUUUCAUUUAAAAAAAAAAAAAACUAAUCAGAGAAAAAAAAUAACAAAUCAGAGAAAUUUUUUUACAGAAACCAAUCUGAAUAGCGGGGUGUUCCUGCACACAAAACACCCUUCAUGAUGUUCAAGCCCCCUCCCCCUCCCCCUACCUCUGUGUAUCUGCCUACCCUCACUUUGGUCCUUGAUACUCUUCUUCACCCAUCACCCAUCACCCUUUCACCCAUCCCCCCUGCCCGUAGCUCUCCACGCACACCUCUGCCAGUCUGAGGGCCUGAAUUAUUUCUCAUCUCAUGAAAGAAUCAUCUGUGAGCCCCUUUGAUACUGUCAGCUUCAGCGUCUGGAAGCGUCCACGUUCAUUAGCAUUUCCCCAUUCUGAGAGUUUGUCAGAAGUGAUUAGCACAGCACCAUUAACUAGAGAACACAGAGGAGGAGGAAGAAGGGAGAUUGGGAGUGAGCUGGAUGGAGCUACGAUGUUGUUGUGCUUCAUGGCUUCAUGGCUGUCUGCUCAAACUUCUCUCCCGGCUUGGAAUCUCCCAUUUGGCCAGUUAAUAAAAGCAGACAACCACGGCAGGCACUGUGCGAGAAGCAACCAAAUCAAUUGACCCGUGCCCAAGGUCAACUCCCAGGCAGCAACUUCCAGUGGCAAACUAGCAACUCGGCACAGGGCCCUUUGCGUGGGCAAGAUGCUCUCACCCUGACCCCUUCUCCGAGGUGCGGCGCGCGAUGGCUCCUCUAAUUACAGUCAGGCCCCAGCCUCACCAGUGCCACAGAUUCCCCCCCGUGUUUCUUCUCCUCCUCGUGUGUAUAUCAGCCUCUCAGGACCAUGAUCUCUCCUCUGCCUUCCACCCACAACCUCUGAUGAAUUAGCUUGAGUGAAAGAAUAUGUCUUUAAUAGCUCCCACUUUUCCAAUGUCUGCACGCCAAAAAGCAUCCACAC